rnacentral:misc_RNA from 1 species
UUUCUGUAGGUGAACCUGCGGAAGGAUCAUUACUGAGUGAGGGCCCCUCGGGGUCCAACCUCCCACCCGUGUUUAACGAACCUUGUUGCUUCGGCGGGCCCGCCUCACGGCCGCCGGGGGGCAUUUGCCCCCGGGCCCGCGCCCGCCGAAGCCACCUGUGAACGCUGUCUGAAGUAUGCAGUCUGAGACAAUUAUUAAAUUAAUUAAAACUUUCAACAACGGAUCUCUUGGUUCCG